rnacentral:rRNA from 1 species
CAGGUAGGACUACCCGCUGAACUUAAGCAUAUCAAUAAGCGGAGGAAAAGAAACUAACAAGGAUUCCCCUAGUAACGGCGAGUGAACCGGGAAGAGCUCAAAUUUGUAAUCUGGCGUGCUCCGUGCGUCCGAGUUGUAAUCUACAGAAGCGUUUUCUGUGCCGGACUGUGUCCAAGUCCCUUGGAACAGGGUAUCAAAGAGGGUGACAAUCCCGUGCUUGACACAACGACCGGCGCUUUGUGAUACGUUUUCUACGAGUCGAGUUGUUUGGGAAUGCAGCUCAAAAUGGGUGGUAAAUUCCAUCUAAAGCUAAAUAUUGGCGAGAGACCGAUAGUGAACAAGUACCGUGAGGGAAAGAUGAAAAGCACUUUGGAAAGAGAGUUAAACAGUAUGUGAAAUUGUUGAAAGGGAAACGAUUGAAGUCAGUCGUGUCUAUUGGAUUCAGCCGGUUCUGCCGGUCUACUUCCUUUGGACGGGUCAACAUCAGUUAAAGUCGGUGGAAAAGGGCUGGAGGAAGGUAGCUCUCACGAGUGUUAUAGCCUCCUGUCGCAUACACUGGCCUUGACUGAGGAAUGCAGCUCGCCGCAAGGCAGGGGUUCGCCCACUUACGAGCUUAGGAUGUUGACAUAAUGGCUUUAAACGACCC